rnacentral:rRNA from 1 species
AACGAACGCUGGCGGCAUGCCUAACACAUGCAGGUCGAACGAGACCUUCGGGUCUAGUGGCGCACGGGUGCGUAACGCGUGGGAACCUGCCCUUAGGUUCGGAAUAACUCCCCGAAAGGGGUGCUAAUACCGGAUAAUGUCUUCGGACCAAAGAUUUAUCGCCUUUGGAUGGGCCCGCGUUGGAUUAGCUAGUUGGUAGGGUAAAAGCCUACCAAGGCGACGAUCCAUAGCUGGUCUGAGAGGAUGAUCAGCCACACUGGGACUGAGACACGGCCCAGACUCCUACGGGAGGCAGCAGUGGGGAAUAUUGGACAAUGGGCGAAAGCCUGAUCCAGCAAUGCCACGUGAGUGAUGAAGGCCUUAGGGUUGUAAAGCUCUUUUACCCGGGAUGAUAAUGACAGUACCGGGAGAAUAAGCUCCGGCUAACUCCGUG